rfam:Roseovarius azorensis strain DSM 100674 genome assembly, contig: Ga0131273_129
AAUCAAGCGCGAAAAGGGCGUUUGGUGGAUGCCUUGGCAGUAAGAGGCGAUGAAGGACGUGAUACUCUGCGAUAAGCCAUGAGGAGCCGAGAAUAGGCUGUGAUCCAUGGAUUUCCGAAUGGGGCAACCCACCUGACAGUUUGUUAUUGUUACCCUCGGGUAGUCAAUAACGGGCUGAACCAGGUACUUGAGGACUGAAUACAUAGGUCUUCAAGAGCAAACCCGGAGAACUGAAACAUCUAAGUACCCGGAGGAAAGGACAGCAAUAGCGACUCCCCCAGUAGCGGCGAGCGAACGGAGACCAGCCGAGCCCGAGAAGUGACCAGAAUGCGUUGGGAAGCGCAGCCAUAGCGGGUGACAGCCCCGUAUGGGAAGCUUUGAGGGACGUAUCAAGUAGGGCGGGACACGUGAAAUCCUGUCUGAAGAUCGGAGGACCACCUUCGAAGGCUAAGUACUCCUUACUGACCGAUAGCGAACCAGUACCGUGAGGGAAAGGUGAAAAGCACCCCGACGAGGGGAGUGAAACAGUACCUGAAACCGAACGCCUACAAUCAGUCGGAGCUUGACUGGACUCCAAUGAUAAUCUGCCUCAUGAACGAGGGAAGACGUGUUCAUGGGGAAAACGAAUGACGGAUCUGGCUUUCAUAACGGAUGGCGGGGCCGCGGUUGCGGGACUUGUUCUGGGGCUCAUCUCGAUGGGUGUGGAACAUUGUCCGGGCGACGGCUGUCUUGCCCGCCGGGAUGUGACGCCGGGCGCCAGCGUGGCGGCCGGGGCGGUGGUCUUUCAGGAGCGCACGACCGGCGCGGAAGUCUAUCUGCGGCGCGAUACGCGGGUGGCUUACGGCCCGUUCCGCCUGACCUACGGCGCCUCGCUGAGCGAGGAUGGCGAGGCCUGGGCGGGGGCGGGGUUCGCCUAUCGGUUCCAGCCGCGGGCGUGGAAGUGGUAUGCCGAGUUCCACCUGAUGCCGGGGCUUCAUGCCGAGGGCGAUGGCGCUGAUCUGGGCGGUCCGGUGCAGGUCCGUUCCGGGCUGGAGCUGGGCUAUGAGACGCGGCGCGGGCUGCGCAUCGGGCUGGGGUUCGACCAUCGUUCGAACGGCGGGCUGCGCAGUCGCAACCCCGGUCUGGAGACGGUGCAUCUGCGGCUCAGCUUUCCGACCAACUGAUCGGGCGGCGGGGCGGAGACGAAGCCCUCAAGUGGCCCUCCGGACGGUAGGGCAAAUACAAGGAUUAUCAUUGGUGUCCAGUCUUGUGACGGCGUACCUUUUGUAUAAUGGGUCAUCGACUUGGUCUAUCCAGCAAGCUUAAGCCGUUAGGUGUAGGCGCAGCGAAAGCGAGUCUUAAUAGGGCGCAUGAGUUGGAUGGAUCAGACCCGAAACCGAGUGAUCUAGGCAUGACCAGGAUGAAGGUUGGGUAACACCAACUGGAGGUCCGAACCCACACCUGUUGAAAAAGGUCGGGAUGAGUUGUGCCUAGGGGUGAAAGGCCAAUCAAACUCGGAGAUAGCUGGUUCUCUGCGAAAUCUAUUUAGGUAGAGCGUCAUCUGAAUACCCCCGGGGGUAGAGCACUGGAUGGGUAAUGGGGCCCCACAGGCUUACUGAUCCUAACCAAACUCCGAAUACCGGGGAGUACUGGAUGGCAGACAGACGGCGGAUGCUAACGUCCGUCGUCGAGAGGGAAACAACCCUGACCUACAGCUAAGGCCCCCAAUUCAUGGCUAAGUGGGAAAGCAGGUGGGACGACCAAAACAACCAGGAGGUUGGCUUAGAAGCAGCCAUCCUUUAAAGAUAGCGUAACAGCUCACUGGUCUAAACAAGUUGUCCUGCGGCGAAGAUGUAACGGGGCUCAAGCCAUGAGCCGAAGCUUAGGAUGCCGCAAGGCAUGGUAGCAGAGCGUAGUGUGACAUGGUUUCCAUCCUCUUUGGUGUCCCUCGGGGCGGCAUGGAGGCCGGAAAUCUUCGAUGAAGCGGGCGCGUGAGCGAUCCCGUGGAGAGAUCACUAGUGAGAAUGAUGACAUGAGUAGCGACAAAGAGUGUGAGAGACACUCUCGCCGAAAGUCCAAGGGUUCCUGCUUAAAGCUAAUCUGAGCAGGGUAAGCCGACCCCUAAGGCGAGGCCGAAAGGCGUAGUCGAUGGGAACCAGGUUAAUAUUCCUGGGCCAGAUGGAAGUGACGGAUUGCGGAUGUUGUUCGCCCUUAUCGGAUUGGGCGGGCCGCUGAGCGGUUCCUGGAAACAGCUCCAUCAUGAGAUCGUACCCGAAACCGACACAGGUGGACUGGUAGAGAAUACCAAGGCGCUUGAGAGAACUACGUUGAAGGAACUCGGCAAAAUACCUCCGUAAGUUCGCGAGAAGGAGGCCCGGUUCCUAGGCAACUAGGGGCUGGGGACACAAACCAGGGGGUGGCGACUGUUUACUAAAAACACAGGGCUCUGCGAAGUCGCAAGACGACGUAUAGGGUCUGACGCCUGCCCGGUGCCUGAAGGUUAAAAGGAGGGGUGAGAGCUCUGAAUUGAAGCCCAGGUAAACGGCGGCCGUAACUAUAACGGUCCUAAGGUAGCGAAAUUCCUUGUCGGGUAAGUUCCGACCUGCACGAAUGGCGUAACGACUUCCCCGCUGUCUCCAACGUAGACUCAGCGAAAUUGAAUUGCCUGUCAAGAUGCAGGCUUCCCGCGGUUAGACGGAAAGACCCCGUGCACCUUUACUAUAGCUUCGCACUGGCAUCAGGAUUGUGAUGUGCAGGAUAGGUGGUAGGCUUUGAACCCGGGACGCCAGUCUCGGUGGAGCCACCCUUGAGAUACCACCCUUCGCACUUCUGAUGUCUAACCGCGGCCCGUUAUCCGGGUCCGGGACCCUGCGUGGUGGGUAGUUUGACUGGGGCGGUCGCCUCCUAAAGCGUAACGGAGGCGCGCGAAGGUUGGCUCAGAGCGGUCGGAAAUCGCUCGUUGAGUGCAAUGGCAGAAGCCAGCCUGACUGCGAGACUGACAAGUCGAGCAGAGUCGAAAGACGGCCAUAGUGAUCCGGUGGUCCCAAGUGGGAGGGCCAUCGCUCAACGGAUAAAAGGUACGCCGGGGAUAACAGGCUGAUACUGCCCAAGAGUCCAUAUCGACGGCAGUGUUUGGCACCUCGAUGUCGGCUCAUCUCAUCCUGGGGCUGGAGCAGGUCCCAAGGGUACGGCUGUUCGCCGUUUAAAGAGGUACGUGAGCUGGGUUUAGAACGUCGUGAGACAGUUCGGUCCCUAUCUGCCGUGGGUGUAGGAUACUUGAGAGGAGUUGCCCCUAGUACGAGAGGACCGGGGUGAACGAACCACUGGUGGACCUGUUGUGGCGCCAGCCGCAGUGCAGGGUAGCUAUGUUCGGACAGGAUAACCGCUGAAGGCAUCUAAGCGGGAAGCCCCCCUCAAAACAAGGUAUCCCUGAGGGCCGUGGUAGACCACCACGUCGAUAGGCCGGAGAUGUAAGCGCAGCAAUGCGUUCAGUUGACCGGUACUAAUGGCCCGACAGGCUUGAUUUG